rnacentral:rRNA from 1 species
UGUUUCGGCAAGGGGGUCAUCCCGACUUACCAACCCGAUGCAAACUGCGAAUACCGGAGAAUGUUAUCACGGGAGACACACGGCGGGUGCUAACGUCCGUCGUGAAGAGGGAAACAACCCAGACCGCCAGCUAAGGUCCCAAAGUCAUGGUUAAGUGGGAAACGAUGUGGGAAGGCCCAGACAGCCAGGAUGUUGGCUUAGAAGCAGCCAUCAUUUAAAGAAAGCGUAAUAGCUCACUGGUCGAGUCGGCCUGCGCGGAAGAUGUAACGGGGCUAAACCAUGCACCGAAGCUGCGGCAGCGACGCUGAUGCGUUGUUGGGUAGGGGAGCGUUCUGUAAGCCUGCGAAGGUGUGCUGUGAGGCAUGCUGGAGGUAUCAGAAGUGCGAAUGCUGACAUAAGUAACGAUAAAGCGGGUGAAAAGCCCGCUCGCCGGAAGACCAAGGGUUCCUGUCCAACGUUAAUCGGGGCAGGGUGAGUCGACCCCUAAGGCGAGGCCGAAAGGCGUAGUCGAUGGGAAACAGGUUAAUAUUCCUGUACUUGGUGUUACUGCGAAGGGGGGACGGAGAAGGCUAUGUUGGCCGGGCGACGGUUGUCCCGGUUUAAGCGUGUAGGCUGGUU